GUGCUUGCUUUGGCAGCACAUAUACUAAAAUUGGAAUGAUAUGGAGAUUAGCAUGGCCCCUCAGCAAGGAUGACAUGCAAAUUUGUGAAGCAUUUCACGUUUUU
ensembl:snRNA U6 U6 spliceosomal RNA